rnacentral:rRNA from 1 species
ACGAACGCUGGCGGCGUGCCUAAUACAUGCCAGUCGAGCGAAGUUUUUCUGGUGCUUGCACCGGAAAAACUUAGCGGCGAACGGGUGAGUAACACGUAAAGAACCUGCCUCAUAGACUGGGACAACUAUUGGAAACGAUAGCUAAUACCGGAUAAUAGCAUUAACUGCAUGGUUGAUGUUUAAAAGUUGGUUUUGCUAACACUAUGAGAUGGCUUUGCGGUGCAUUAGCUAGUUGGUGGGGUAAAGGCCUACCAAGGCGACGAUGCAUAGCCGACCUGAGAGGGUGAUCGGCCACACUGGGACUGAGACACGGCCCAGACUCCUACGGGAGGCAGCAGUAGGGAAUCUUCCGCAAUGGGCGAAAGCCUGACGGAGCAACGCCGCGUGAGUGAAGAAGGAUUUCGGUUCGUAAAGCUCUGUUGUUAGGGAAGAAUGAUUGUGUAGUAACUAUACACAGUAGAGACGGUACCUAACCAGAAAGCCACGGCUAACUACGUG